ensembl:snRNA U7 U7 small nuclear RNA
UAGUAUUACAACUCCUUUAGAUUUUGUUUAGAAGCUUUUCUGAUCUCUACCAGAAAGCCUCC